AGCAGCCGCGGUAAUUCCAGCUCCAAUAGCGUAUAUUAAAGUUGUUGCAGUUAAAAAGCUCGUAGUUGAAUUUCGGGAUUAGUAGUCUGGUCGUGCCACUGGUAUGUACUGGUCUUACUGAUUUCUCCUUCUUGAAGAACCGUAAUGUCAUUAAUUUGGUGUUGCGGGGAAUCUGGACUGUUACUUUGAAAAAAUUAGAGUGCUUAAAGCAGGCUAACGCUUGAAUACAUUAGCAUGGAAUAAUGAAAUAGGACGUUCGAUCCUAUUUUGUUGGUUUCUAGGAUUGACGUAAUGAUUAAUAGGGAUAGUUGGGGGCAUUAGUAUUCAAUUGUCAGAGGUGAAAUUCUUGGAUUUAUUGAAGACUAACUACUGCGAAAGCAUUUGCCAAGGAUGUUUUCAUUAAUCAAGAACGAAAGUUAGGGGAUCGAAGACGAUCAGAUACCGUCGUAGUCUUAACCAU
rnacentral:rRNA from 1 species